UACGAAGGGGGCUAGCGUUGCUCGGAAUCACUGGGCGUAAAGGGUGCGUAGGCGGGUCUUUAAGUCAGGGGUGAAAUCCUGGAGCUCAACUCCAGAACUGCCUUUGAUACUGUGGAUCUUGAGUUCGGGAGAGGUGAGUGGAACUGCGAGUGUAGAGGUGAAAUUCGUAGAUAUUCGCAAGAACACCAGUGGCGAAGGCGGCUCACUGGCCCGGUACUGACGCUGAGGUGCGAAAGCGUGGGGAGCAAACAGG
rnacentral:rRNA from 1 species